CAGCCGCCGCGGUAAUACAGAGGGUGCGAGCGUUAAUCGGAUUUACUGGGCGUAAAGCGUGCGUAGGCGGCUUCUUAAGUCGGAUGUGAAAUCCCUGAGCUUAACUUAGGAAUUGCAUUCGAUACUGGGAAGCUAGAGUAUGGGAGAGGAUGGUAGAAUUCCAGGUGUAGCGGUGAAAUGCGUAGAGAUCUGGAGGAAUACCGAUGGCGAAGGCAGCCAUCUGGCCUAAUACUGACGCUGAGGUACGAAAGCAUGGGGAGCAAACAGGAUUAGAUACCCGGGUAGUCCCUGUCUCUUAUCA
rnacentral:rRNA from 1 species